rnacentral:sRNA from 1 species
UCCACUCUUCGGUUUCAGAACAUGACCCUCACCUGUGUAUUCUGGGAUGUGACUAAAGGGCCCACUGGAGACUGGUCUUCUGAGGGCUGCUCCACGGAGGUCAGACCUGAGGGGACCGUGUGCUGCUGUGACCACCUGACCUUUUUUGCCCUGCUCCUGAGACCCACCUUGGACCAGUCCACGGUGCAUAUCCUCACACGCAUCUCCCAGGCGGGCUGUGGGGUCUCCAUGAUCUUCCUGGCCUUCACCAUUAUUCUUUAUGCCUUUCUGAGGCCUGCCCGCCCUGAUGGUCAUCGGCACUGGGAGUGCCAACAGCUACGGCCUCUACACCAUCCGUGAUAGGGAGAACCGCACCUCUCUGGAGCUAUGCUGGUUCCGUGAAGGGACAACCAUGUACGCCCUCUAUAUCACCGUCCACGGCUACUUCCUCAUCACCUUCCUCUUUGGCAUGGUGGUCCUGGCCCUGGUGGCCUGGAAGAUCUUCACCCUGUCCCGUGCUACAGCGGUCAAGGAGCGGGGGAAGAACCGGAAGAAGGUGCUCACCCUGCUGGGCCUCUCGAGCCUGGUGGGUGUGACAUGGGGGUUGGCCAUCUUCACCCCGUUGGGCCUCUCCACUGUCUACAUCUUUGCACUUUUCAACUCCUUGCAAGGUGUCUUCAUCUGCUGCUGGUUCACCAUCCUUUACCUCCCAAGUCAGAGCACCACAGUCUCCUCCUCUACUGCAAGACUGGACCAGGCCCACUCCGCAUCUCAAGAAUAGGAAGGCAUGGCCCUGCAAUAUGGACUCAGCUCUGGCUCGCUGUGUGACCUUGGGCAGCUCCGUGCCUCUCUCUGUACUCCCUCAGUUUCCUUCUCUGUACAGUGUGUCUGGGGAGGGAGAGGAUGGGACCAGGUUGGACCACGUGGCAUCAGAGGUCCCAUGCAGAUCCAACUAUAGGUCCAAGAGUCCACGUAAGCAGGUUUGCAAGGCUCUAAAGUUCCUAUAGUCCUGAGACCCCCUGCCAGCAAAGAGUGACAGUCACUUCCAUGCCCUGCCCUCAUUGCAAAGCCCUCACUCACCUUCUGGUCUCAGCAAGGGAGGAGAGUCUGUUGCUGGCGUAGCCCUGGAAGGAGCCCCCAGCCUCUCCCCUCCUCCUCCUUGUCACUGGCCUCCCACAACUCCCCUUCUGGCUGCCUGUAACCUUGAGGGACAUUCAGGAGGCCAGCGUUCCCUCA